GACGAACGCUGGCGGCGUGCUUAACACAUGCAAGUCGAGCGAUGAAUUUUCUUCGGAAAUGGAUUAGCGGCGAACGGGUGAGGAACACGUGAAGAAUCUGCCCUCCACUUUGGGAUAACACAGGGAAACCUGUGCUAAUACCGAAUAUUGAAACAUAAGUGGCAUCACUGAGUUUUGAAAGAAUUUCGGUGGAGGAUGACUUCGCGGCCUAUCAGCUAGUUGGUGAGGUAAUGGCUCACCAAGGCAACGACGGGUAGCCGGCCUGAGAGGGCGACCGGCCACACUGGACUGAGACACGGCCCAGACUCCUACGGGAGGCAGCAGUGGGGAAUAUUGGGCAAUGGAGGAAACUCUGACCCAGCGACGCCGCGUGCGGGAUGAAGGCCUUCGGGUUGUAAACCGCUUUCAGUAGGGAAGAAGCGAAAGUGACGGUACCUACAAAAGAAGCACCGGCUAACUAUGUGCCAGCAGCCGCCGUAA
rnacentral:rRNA from 1 species